ACAUGUGAUUUCCUGUUUGGAUAAUGUUAGGACAAAUUCAACUCAGAUUUGAAUUAGGAAUCCUAAACCAAUUUGGUUUUGAUCAGAUGGGGUGUUACCUAUAAGAAGGGGAGAACUUAUUAUCGGUGGUUAAAGAAUUUUUUGUGUGACAAAAAAGGGUGUCUUGGUGUGUGUGACAUAUCAAGAGGAAUAACCACCAUAAGGAAGGAUGUGCGACAAAUAAAGAAGGGUGAUUUUCUUUUGGUGAGGCUUCUUCCCAGGUGCUAAUUUCUUGGCAUGAAGAUUCCUAUCCAGGGUGCUCCCCUGCCACGAGAUGAGAUCUCAUUUCUUCUUUUCUUCCCUUCUAAAGAUUAAUAUAAAUAAGAUCAUCCCUCUUCUCUAUGGAG
rnacentral:lncRNA from 1 species